CGGUUUUUAAAAUUUGGUAAAAAUUAUGGUAAAAAUUUUCGAGAAAAAAAAAAAAAAUUAAAAAAAAAAUAAAUUUUUAUUCAGUAAUAAUAAAUAUAAAUUCUCUGUUGAAUUUUUGAAUGUUUUGAAUAUGUAACAAUUAAAUUAAGUCUGCAUGAUUGAUAUUGCUAAUAAUAAUGCUUCUAUGUCAAUAAAAUUAUCAUUAUUUGUAUUAUAGUAAAUGUUAAAUGUUUGUAAUACUGUAUAUGUAUCCUCUGUAUUUUCAAAAUUGUAUAUUUUAUGUUUUUGUGAAUGAAUGUUAUUCAUACUGUGUUGUAGAAUGAAGAACGCCGCAGUUCCCGUGACAGUCGGAGACUGUCAUUGGCUGAAAUAAUUCCUGACUGGCCAACACUGCAGAAAGUGACCAGGGAAAAUGAGGUUGGAGGAUGUGGAAAGAUUGCAAUCUUCUUAUCCUCAUCUCUUUCCUGUUCUCUUUCCUUAUUCUAUUAUUUUUCUGGUUUCUUUCACAAAAAUUCUGCUGCUUUUAUUAUAAAUUUUGCAUUUUCUACUUCAUAUAACUUAUAUACUCAGACUAUUGCUUUGAUUUUAAAUAAUAGUUUAAGAAAUUAUUAAAAAUAAGUAAACUUUUUUUAGGUUACAAUCAACUCUUGAUACAAAAGCAAUUUAUUCUACAUUUGAUAAUCUAAGGAAUGAGAUUCACAGUAUAUAAAUGUAAAUGGAAGUUUUUGGUAUAUACAUUAUAUCAUAUAGAAUAACAAAAAUCUGAAAAAUUUGGAAUAAUAAUAUGAGAAGUUUCAUUAUAGUUUUCUCAAUUUUUUUUAGUUUUCUGUCAUAUAUUCCUAAAUUGUAUGGCUGGCCCAAAGGUGCAACAGAAAUGCAUCGUGACAGAACUAACAAAUCUAAGAUUUGUUAGUUCAGCCAUGAUGCAUUUCUGUGAAAAUUUUUAUGAUCUUGUGAAAAAUUUUCCAAUUUUUGACUCUCCUGUAUAUAAGUUGCCUCAUUCUUUAAAAAUUUUUCAACUUAUACUCAAAUAUAUAUUGUAUUGUAAAUAUUUUGCCAAUAUUUGGAAAUGAGGAAAUGUGAAUUAAUCUUAUGAUUACAAUUUGUUUGCCAUUCACAUUUCGCAAUAAUACAAUUUUGUUAAUGUUUGUUCAACAUAAAAAUGUUAAACAAACAUUGGGUGGAUUGUAUUAUUGGGAAAUUGAAUGCAUCUGAUGUAGCAUAAUUGCACCCUGCUCAGCUAGCCAUCUUUCUUUUAAUUUUGUAUUGUGAUGUUUCAGUUCAUUGAGUUUGACUUUUUGUCUAAGUGCUCAUAUUUAUUUUGAUAGUGG
rnacentral:lncRNA from 1 species